UUGUCCUACGGGACGCAGCAGUGAGGAAUAUUGGUCAAUGGGCGGGAGCCUGAACCAGCCAAGUCGCGUGAGGGAAGACGGUCCUAUGGAUUGUAAACCUCUUUAGGCGGGGAGCAAUGCCGGGCACGCGUGCCCGGAGGGAGAGUACCCGCAGAAUAAGCAUCGGCUAACUCCGUGCCAGCAGCCGCGGUAAUACGGAGGAUGCGAGCGUUAUCCGGAUUUAUUGGGUUUAAAGGGUGCGCAGGCGGACCAUCAAGUCAGCGGUAAAAUCGUGGGGCCCAACCCCAUCCCGCCGUUGAAACUGG
rnacentral:rRNA from 1 species